UAUUAAAUUAUAUAAUUUAAUAUAAUCAAUAUUUAAUUUAUUAUAAAAUUAAAUUAUAUAAUUUAAUAACAUGUCUCUACUCUUGCAUGAAAGGAAAAAAAUAAUGACCCCUACAUGAGAGGUGAACACCAUAUAUACGUCCAUGCAUGAACUUCAUAACAUUUUCUCAGCAUAAUGUUAUAAAAUAAGCACCAUUUUAUUUGUUUAUUUAUUUUCUACCCUCUCCUAUUCUCAAUUUAUUUUAAUGGAUCGAUUUACGAAUUAACAAUUGAAUAGCAGAUAUAUUGUAGCUUUAGACCUCUUGUCAGCAUUGGAAAUGAAAAGGAGUUAUAGGGUUUGUGAAAAACCAGGCAAAUCUUUUGAACUCUGUCGGAGCCAAAACAUUGAUAUGCAUGCAACAGAAUAAUGUAAUAAUGUAGACCAAGCAUGUGCGCACUGACGUCUGUUCGUGUUUACAGUCUUUAUAUUUUCUAAUUUUUUUUUUCAAUUCAAGUGUUUGUAUUUUGAAAUUUGGAGUGUUAUUGAUAGGCGUAAAGAGCUAGGCAAUAGGCAUAAGAUAAGAGUGCACUGUGACUUUGGCAACGUCUGGUGGUCGGGCAGACGUGUCAAUGGCUUUCAAAAUUAUAAUGAUUUCUCAUUUAUUUAUUUUUUUUGUCACGAGUGUGUUACAACUAUGGGAGAUACCUUUAAACCCGUACCACAACUUAGAUUAAUUCCCGUUCGUACCGGUUCGACCUGUAAGGGAUAAAAUGCUUACCAAAGUGGUGACUUCAUACAAGAGCGGUACUUGAACCCCUGACAUCUCUUAAAGAGUCAGAGUGCCGAACCACUCACACUAACCAACUUUAAUUAAUUUCUCAUUUAUUUUCAGUAUUGCCUCCGGUAAAUAAAUUUCUUUAUAUGGAAACUCUACUUAUCCCUCCAAUCGGGUUGUGCAUUAAUAAAUAUUUUUUUUUAUACAAACACACCAUUUAAUUAUGCGACUUAAUAAAAUUAAUAAAAAUAUAUUAUUAAAACACAUAAUUUAAGAGUAUAUUUACAUUAAUAAAAAAAAAAGACAUCAACGCCUGAAAAUAAUUAUAUAUAUACAUGCACGUUAUAUUCUGAUUCGGAAGUCCAAGAUUAAAGAUAACAAAUUGGUUCAAGAAGUCAACCAAAUUGCUCAAAGGAAUUUGCUUUUGCUGAAGGACCAAUUCCUCUUCUUCAAAAAAAGCUAGUAAAGAAUUAGUUGAUUUAUUCUAAUCUUUUCAAUGACAAGACAAUUUUUUUCAGAAAAGCAUUUCUGUUAAUGAUCGAAUAGAAGUUUUGACAUUCCUUAAAAAUUCUAUUCCUAAUAACAUUUUCUAUUCGACAGAAAGCUCGGCGAAAUGUUGAAGGCUGAGUUGCUCCAAAUUCACUAAAUAAUUGGUGAUCAUAUGAAUUGGGAUAUAAACUAAAUUAUUCAAAUAAAUAUUCUUGACGUAAAAUAUAUUGCCAAACUCUUCUAUUUUUUUAUUUUUUUUUCGUUUGGUGUUUAAAACACUUGGCGGUUUUAGUUUGGUAGCAUAGUUGCCAAAUAGUAGAACUUAAAAGAGCCCAAAUGAGCAGUUAGAUGUUAAUUAUAAUUGAUGAGUAGUUGAUUAAUAUCAACUGCCAAAUACAAAAUCAAAAACUAAGCAAUGAUAAACAUAGUGUCGAACUUUUCAGGGGAGGAGCUAAUUUCUUGCUCAGUUUUUCUUCAUUUCGCAUUCAAGUUUACGGUCCAAAGUUGACGGGUAUUUUUGCUUGAAAGUGGAGCUGCAGCUAGGCAAGAAACUGAUCUCAUGAAAAGAAAAAUGGACAUAAUUAUUUAGCAAGCUGGGAAAAACUAGUGAUUGUUGCCAUGUGAUACUCGUCUUUUAAUGUUAUUGAUGUAAUUGCCCUGGGGGUCCAUUUUCCCGCCAUGUUUGUUUGACUUCACGUUUAGAUGAUCCGCCUGUACCUCUUAAUUUUAAUUUCUUCUGCUAAUUAAGAUCUUGUGGGGGGAACGAAACAAGGAAAUAAAAAUAUUCUUUUGUUUUGUAUCUUGGAUUUUUUUGACAUUAUGAUAAGCUUUCUCCUCAAAAGCUGUGACUUGACUAAGCCAAAGCAUUACGGUUCCCUCAUCAUUUUCCUUUUUCUUUCUCUUCAAUGGUAAUUAAUAUUUGAGAAAGUAAAAGCAAAACCGAAAAGGCCAUGUUCUUCAAAGAGAAAAGCUUUCCAUACGGACCAUUGAUUGUACAAUCACUACCACACGAAUUCUUUUCAAUUUUAAUUUAUUUUUUAAAUCAUGAAAGGAGUCAAUUGUUGACCAUUAAUCUCUUUCAUUUUGCUUUUGGGACAAAAAAAAAAAAAUCAAACAAUCCAUACAAUUAGGGUUCGCAUACUUAAAAUUAUCGGCGCCAUUUAGAUAUAAUUUAGUCAAUCCAAUUAAAGACUUACUCGCAAGAAGUUAGUUGUAAGAUUAGAGUGGUUACUCAUAAUUUACUUCCAUCAGAAUUAAAGUUCCGAGUCUUUAUUGAUAUCUCUCUUUUAAAUAAAAAUAAAUUUUAUUAACUGAAAGUGCAUUAAGGUAGCGUUUACUUUUUGGAUUGAAGUGAGAAUCCUAUGAUUGGGAGUGUGGAGUGGGAGUGUGGAGUGAGAGUGGGAGUAGGUUGUUUACUUACACUGGAAUUGAAGCAUGAAAUGGAGAUCAGAAUCCAAUUUAUGUGUUUACUUUGUCUUGGAUUGGGAGUAAAUAGUUUCAAAUUAUAAUUUUAUCCUUAUUUAAAGAAUUAUAGUUUUUAAUUACAAAACUAAUAAAAAAUAUAUUUAAUGAAUAAAUUUUUUUUAUUAUAUUUGUAAAUUUAUAAUAAUUAUUAAUAUUCUUAAUUAUGAACAUCACAUUUUUUUAUUAAUUUUAAUUUUAAUAUAAAAUGAAACAUUAUUUUAUUUAAUAUGAUUAUAUUAAAUUUAAAUAUAAUUAUAUUAAAUUUAUUAUUAUAUAAAAUAAUAAUAUAAUAUUAUUUAGUACAAAAUUAAUAUUUUCUUAGAAAAAACUAUUUAUUAUUAUUAAUUAUUAAUAUUAAAUAAAUAUAGUACUAUUAUUUUUAAAAUAAAUAUAAUAAUAUUAUAUUUAUUAAUUAUCUAUUAAUAUAAUGAUAUUAUUUUUAAAUAAUUUUAACUUAGAAUCAAUGCAAAUUAUUAUUUAGUUAAAUAUAAUAAUAUUAUUCAAAUAAAUAUAAUAUUAUUUUUAUUUUAUUUUAUUAAUUAUAAAAUAUUAAAUUAAAUUAAAUUAUAAAAAAAAUAGAAAACAUUAAAUCCACUCCCACUCCCCACUCCAAAAAUAGGUGGGGCCUACGGAGUGAGAUUCCCAAUCCCUCCCCAAUUUAAUAAAGUAAGGUAGCGUUUACUUUUUGGAUUGGAUUAUGAAUACUGAGGAGUAGGAAUCCUAGGAUUGGGAGUGUGGAGUGGGAGUGGGAGUGGGAGUAGGUUGUUUACUUACACUGGAAUGGAAGCAUGGAUUAGAGAUCAGAAUCCAAUUUAUGUGUUUACUUUGUCUUGGAUUGGGAGUAAAUAGUUUCAAAUUACAAUUUUAUCCUUAUUUAAAGAAUU
rnacentral:lncRNA from 1 species